rnacentral:ncRNA from 1 species
ACCAAGGAGUCUAACGUGUGCGCGAGUCAACGGUGAUCUUACGAAAAACCACGUUUGGCGCAAUGAAAGUGAACCGUUUACGGUGCGGACGAUGGCCUAGCGACCGAACCCACCGGCGUUCAAAGUCGCGCUGGUCCGCAGUCCGGGGGCGUCUCCGCCAAGUCGGCUUCGGCCGGCUGGGGGCGCACCCUUAGCGCACACGUUGGUACCCGAAAGAUGGUGAACUAUGCCUGGCCAGGAUGAAGUCAGGGGAAACCCUGAUGGAGGUCCGCAGCGAUUCUGACGUGCAAAUCGAUCGUCUGAGCUGGGUAUAGGGGCGAAAGACUAAUCGAACCAUCUAGUAGCUGGUUCCAUCCGAAGUUUCCCUCAGGAUAGCUGGCGCCGAUGUGUCCCGCCCGUUCGCGGGCGUACGGACGCCGGUGGGACUCCGCGCUGUACGGCGCGGUAACAACACGCUCGUAACACGGAGGAUGUCUCAUACGGUAAAGCGAAUGAUUAGAGGACAUUGGGGCCGAAACGACCUCAACCUAUUCUCAAACUAUAAAUGAGUGAGAUCGCCGGCUUUACCUGGUACACCGCGUGAACCGCGUGCGAAGCCGGCGACGGAACCCUAGGCGCUUAGUGGGCCAUUUUUGGUAAGCAGAACUGGCGCUGCGGGAUGAACCGAACGCCGAGUUAAGGCGCCGAAAUCGACGCGUAUUCAGAGACCAUGAAAGGCGUUGGUUGCUGAUGACAGCAGGACGGUGGCCAUGGAAGUCGGAAUCCGCUAAGGAGUGUGUAACAACUCACCUGCCGAAGCAA